CAUGGAACAAGUGCCUGUUUCAGUCUCUUAUUUAAGCACCGCAGAUGCGUUGAAACCUAAUAAAAACAGUUCCCUGGCAUAUCAACCCUAACCAGAGAGUAAGAAGCUAAAAAUCUGUGAAUCGCCUACAACCAAAGGGGAGUCUUUUGAGAGCUGCAUUGUUAAAACUCUGAGAACAGGUGCUCUCCAGAUACGUUCUCAAGGACACAUUCAUCUGUGAAUGCGGAUUUUUAUUCCUGUGCCUCAUUCUGUUGGAGCUGUAGAAAACCAAACUCUAUCUGGUCAAGAGCUCAGGGUGAUCUUUGAGCUAACGAGGACGCUAGGUGACACCAAGCCCAAACACUCUCUGAGCAAGUGCCUGGUCCUGAGAGGUGAUCGAGGUCACACGACUAUAAGAUAUAGGCAGGAACUGAAAAAUCACAUCUCCAGACUCAUCACUUGGGCUGGUACUUAGUGAUAUAUACGUGGACUUGGACACUGGAAACCUCGGCAUGAAUAGCUUCACCAAGAUAACUAGGCAUUCAUCAUGUCCCAUUCAAUAAAAUAAAGAAGUUAGAAAAUAAUGCACUCUGUGACAUCUUGUAUCUGCCAUGUAAAAUUUUAAUCAUGUAUAUGACCUUGCAUUUGUAGGAUAUAGUAAAUUCCUCUUCAAAGGUUUUAGCCUGUAAUUUGUUAAGUACAAUGAGUUCUGAGAUCCUCCUUAAAGAACCAAUGUAUCAGUAUGUUCAGCUCCCCUGUUCUUUGUUCUCCAUUUUAAAAUUUAACUUCCUUGUUCUCCUCACCCCUAGUUUCAGUAAACAACCUUUCCCACCAGUUCUAAUCGGUAGUUCACAACUGUUCCUCUGGUCACCUGCUCUGUCUUGAGUCACUCCUAGUCACCUGCUCCAUCCUGAGUCACCCCUGGUCACCUGCUCUGACCUGAAUCAUCCUGAGUCACCUGUUCUGUAACUGCCCUUCCGACCAAACUACUCACCCCGGCACUAUGGCUAGUACCCCUGCUUUCUUUCAAAUAGCCAAUCAGAAUUAGCUUAGACUGUGUAGUCCAACCCUAGCCAAUAGGGGAAUGACACAGCAGUAGGGGCUACCUGCAUCAGGAAUAAAAACCCCUUCCCCUCCCUUGUUUGGGUGUGCUCGCCAUUGCUCCUUCCGUGAGUCAUACCCUUCUAUGGAAGUAAAAUUGCCUUGCUGAGAAAAUUGAAUUUAUGUUUGAGUGCUAUUUCUUUUGCUGCACCAAAAAUUUAUUUAUAACACAUUUAUGAAUCUGUAUUUGCUAAUAAUGGCUGCUAUUGAAAGAUCGGAGAGCUUAGAAGCAACUUUCAUCUAUAUUUUUUGUAAAUAAGGUGAUGCUGAUUCUAGAUCUUACCAAGGUGUUAGACAAAACAAGUUAUUCCAUUGAGUGAAAAAUGAAGAGCUUUUGACCCCAGCCUUCUAAUACUACACUUGCCUCAGUACCCAUGGAAGGCAAAUCAUUUAUACACUAAUACUCACAUUUGCAUUUUAUAAUUGGUAUGGUAGUAAAUAGUUUAUAAGCAAAAUGAAAUUCAGUUUAGUUAUUAGGAAUUCAUGUUCACAAAAGGCAAAGAUACAAGUGUGUAGCUGGUUUAUCAGAAUAGGAAAGCAAAGGAUUAUAUGGAUUGAGAAUGCCAGAGAAUUCAAAGAUAGAAAGAAAGUUGUGAUUCAUGUUGCAUGUUAGAUAUGGACUAGGAGCUGAAACCCAAAGAAGUUCAAUUACUUGUCCAAGUUCAUAUAACUAGUUGGGGGUAAAACCAGGGCUAUAAGAGAAAUCUCUUCUUUGUGAUCCAAUUCUUACACCACAAUACUGUGCUUCUUUUUGAAGAUUAGAUUUUCAUAUCUGUAGCUCAAUACAUUUUAAUCAUAUAUCUCAAAAUUUCCUUCUAAGUGAUUGUUAGGUAAACACGUUUAUUUUCAAAAGUAGCAGUAUUGCCUCAGGAGGUCACCAGGAGCUUUUAAUGCAGUUUUCAUUGUCAGUUGUUCUGCUCCAGCUGAAAGCAACAGUCUCCAGGCUCCUGUGCAACCCAAAUUCAGAAUGUGUUAAAAUCCCUGGAGACCGCUCUGCCAUGGGGCCCUAAAGAAUUCACACAGUCACUAACAAGAGUCCAGAAAUCAAUUUAGUGGCUAAAAUAUGGUACCUUGAGUCCCCACAUAAUGUGAGGCUGUGGGUUCUCUGCCAAAAGUGGGGUCUACAAUGUUUGACUCUGUAAGCUUUAGUGUGAAGAAAACCAGGGCUUGGAGGACAUCUGAAACCCUCAUGACUUUUUAAAAAAUUUUUUCCCUCUUGAAUUUUAAAUAGAGCUGAGCUGUGAGAAUCCUUUUAAAGUUUUUGACAAUUUCCUAAAAUACAGUAUGCACAUUGCCAUUGCCAGGUGAUAUGAGUAGAGCUCAUUUCACCCAAG
ensembl:lncRNA